rnacentral:lncRNA from 1 species
AUUCGUUUCCAAUUCCACCAUUCCAUUUCCACCAUUCCAUGUUUUCCUCCAACCCCACCAACCCCAAAAUGCCUCGCCCUAAAUCCCGUCGGGAAAAUAAUAGGCCUCAGUCUAAUCGUCGUGAUCGCGAAGUAUUCGAUCGUGCCCCCGCAGAUCCGAGAGAUUUUCGUGGUAGAAAUGACCCAUCUGGAUACGAUUACAGGGAUCGGGAUGGAUAUAAUAUGCGCGAUACGGCGAUAGGUACUAUCGUGGUAGUAACAGAGACGUACCGGGAGGAUAUCGUCCAUCGGAUGGUGAUCGUGAUAGCCAACCUUAUCGUGGUGUUGAUCGUGGAGGGGAUCGUGGGGAGAAAUUUGUGAAAGGGGAGACAUUUCUACGUGACGGCCUUGGCGGACUUGACUGAGGCCCUUCCGCAAACUUAUCUCAAUUUUUCCACUCUAACGCAACCGGCUCUGAAAAAUGACGAAUUCAUACUCCUUUGGAAAACUAGGCUUCGCUGGUGGAAAUUUUAUCUUCAACAGCCCGUUCUUCUCAACACGACGGGCAUUCAGACGAAACGUUUGUGGAACAGAAGAUUGAAUUUGUCUCCCCCGCUCUGGGAUCGGAACCUUUCGAAGUCUUAAAACUUUACAAACCCGCUGUGUUUGCAGAUCUGCAGUUGAAUGAGGAGACGAAAAAGUCAUUGAUGGUCAAGUUUCAGCGGAAAUCUUCUUGGCCGUGUUUAGUUACGUCCCAGACUCCCAGAUUUGUGUUAUCGCUUCACAAGGCUUAGCUCCGUAUGCUGUUGGUAUUUUGGUUGAAGGCUCCCCUACACCAAUAGUCGAAUUAGAGGAUCUUCGCCGUUUAAUGAGUCUCAAAUUUAAACAGUCGAAAAUUCCGGUCUUGCCAUUAAGCGCUCCUUGGACGACGGCUCAAUGCGACGCUAGAGGAAUGCCUUAUUUAAUAUUUUUGUCAGAUUCGACUUUCGAGCAAGGGAUAUACGGUCACUGGUUUUCUAUCUUUAAUACAUUCGAAUUAAAUAACCAUUCCCUAAUAAUACGUACGAACUUCUGUGUGAAUAAAAGAUACGAUACAUUACGUGGCAUAUUCAUUUAGAAUUGUAAAGAGAAUAAAAGAAUCAUCCUGACCAAAUACCAAAGAUAAAAUAGAGAGUACCAAUGUCC